CCAAAAUUGAAAACUGCCGCGAGAAUUCAUUUUCUUCUCCAUCUGCUAAGUAUCAAAACAGAGCAAAAUCGAAACCCUAAUUCAGAUUGUCACUCGCCUCCGCCGCCCCAUCUCCUCAGGCGUCGACUCCUUCUCAUCGCUGCCCUCCGCUGCUCUACGCCGAAGCCCUCGGUUUUGUCUCCGUCACUCCCCCUCCGGAGCCUUCCUCUAUUUCUCCUACCUCUUCCAAUCUCUCUCUCUCAUCCUUCCCCAUUUCUCCUCCCUGCGCCUGAUGCAGGGGAUUGAAGUGGCGCGGCGGUGACGACAAACUGUGCCUCCUCGCAGACCUUCGAAAGAUGGCACUGCUCAACAGCCGCUUUGUGCUGCACUUCUGCCUCCGUUGCAGCUGCCCUAUCUCGAAGCUGGAAGGUUAGGACCCUAACCGCGGUCUCCGCCACAAGAAGUUACAUUAAAGUUGGUAGCUGCUCAGCAGACUUCAUUUCUUUUAACAUUUAUAUGAAUUGUUCCAACAUGAUGUUUGAAGACAUGGGGUUUUGUGGCAGAGAAGGAUAAUUAAGAACAGAAAGUCUGCAGCUAUUAGGCGUAUCAGGUGGAAUCCAUAGUUUAUAACGGAUGAGCCUUUGCCUUCUCUUUGAUAAUGUGUUUUUGUGAUUUUAUUAGGCGUAUCAGGUGGAACUGGAAUCAAUGGUGGCGAGACUAGAGAAAGAAAAUGAGCAGCUUUUAAAACAGAAGAAGGGCGAGUUACUUGGUAAUGAGAACAUUAAUACAGAUAUAAUGUGGAAGAAAGCUAGAGUGAAAAAAGAUAAGAUCGUUGAGAAUGAAGACUUAAAGAAAGCAAGGUGGGAAUGAAGACUUAAAGAAAGGAAGGUGGGAGUGUUGAGAAUGAAGACUUGUAGCUUUUUGUAUGGAUGUUGGAGAUGUUGUAAAAUAAUGGAUCUUUUGUGGAAGUUGGAUGAUUGAUUAUUAUCAAUGAUUAAAUGACAUCUUCAAUA